UGCGGAAUGUCAUGGUAUGCUAACAUGUAUUCCAUGUUCUCAGUUAUUGAGUCAUUAAAAUUAUCUUGGCAAUCGAUGAUAGAUGGUUGUGUGUUGGGUUUGUGGAUGUAGACUUGGAGUGUUUGUUUUGGGUUUUCAACUGAACAUUUUGUUUUUGAUGUGAAAGCCGAUGAGAUAUAAGUGGUUGGUUACUAAUUUUUGGAGUAUUUGUGGGAGCAUAAGGUAAUGUAGAAAUGUAUUCUAUAGAGUGAGGUUAAAUAGAUGAUUUUAUUGUCUUCUUCUAACUUUUGGUUUUAAGUAUCAUUUAUUCAUGGGUGUUAAAUUUUUUAGAGUUAUUUGUUUGUGUUGAAUUGACUUUUUUAAAACGUUUUUCAGUUUUUUUUAUGAAGACUAUUUUUUUUAUAAAGACUAUGUAUUAAUUGUAUAUUGCGUUUAUUUGGAGGGAGACUAUCAUAGUAUUAGUUGUUAUAUAGGGUUCAGCUUUAGUAAUAACUAGAGUCUUUUUUUUUGACAUCAUAACUAGAGUCUAACCCGCGCUAAACGCGGGUAUUUUAUUUUUUAAUUUUGACAAAAAAAA
rnacentral:lncRNA from 1 species